rnacentral:misc_RNA from 1 species
GGAUUUCCUUGAAUAAUGCCGAGCCACCGUGAAACAACCUUAUACAAUUUUCGAAGGAUCUGAUUUGCGCCCUAAAGACACAACAGUAACGUUGACAAAAAUGGCACUGGAGGAGGAAGAAAACACUUGGGUAUUAGAAUUAGAAGCAGCUUUGCUGGAUGCGGAAGCACCUUCUGCUUCGGACAUCUAUGCUAUUUCUAAAGGUCAGCCAGUACCUUCGCGUCUAAGACCGGAUGUUUGGCAACUGUGCUUGGAUGUCACCGAUAGAGGUGAUCAGCUGAUUCACUUUAAUGAGGUUUUUGACUUGCCCGAGCAGAAUGUCUUACGUGAGGAUUGCCAGCAACUAGUCGCCAAACUUGGGAACGAUGACGAGGAUAAGGUAUCCGUUGUGUCGGACUUGGAGUCGAUAUUGACAUUUUAUUGCAAAAAUAGGAAUAAACAAUACCAAAGGGGAAAUGGUUGGCUCGAGUUAUUGGGUCCCUUAAUAGCUCUAAAAUUACCCCGUACUGCUACCUAUAAUCUUUUUGAAGCGAUCAGAGACGUCUACGUGCCAAGGGGAGAUACGCAUAGUUCUGUCCUGCGACUGCUACUUCUUUACCAUGAUCCGGAAUUGUGUUCUUUCCUUGACACCAAAAGAGUCUCACCCGACCAAUAUACAAAAGGAUGGGUGAACACGUUGUUUGCCGAGGUAUGUUCUUUACCAGCAGUGAGCACUAUGUGGGACCUGUAUUUCAUGCAAGCCGAUCCUUUCUUCAUGAUGUUUCUCUCUCUCAUCAUAGUAAUUAAUGCAAGAGAUCAGAUAUUAAAAAUGAAAGACAUCGACAAACAAAAUAUCAUAGAUAUUCUCACAGCAUUGCCCUGUGAUCUGAAAGCUGAGGAUGUGACGGAUUUCUGUUCUCUGGCACAGUAUUACGCAAUGAAAACCCCAUCGUCCUUUAAGCAAGACUUGUACUCUAUUAUGUUUGGCGAAGGAGGGGAUGAGAAGUUUAUCUCUCAUGCAUUGUGUUUGCCAGUUUCUGCACACGAGUUAAUAGAGAAUGCUGUUGAAGUUCCGUCCAACCCUAAUGGGCCUGUAGAACCUGUCAGAUUCUUUUUGGUGGAUUGCCGACCUGCUGAACAGUACAAUGCUGGACAUUUGCCAACAGCUUUUCAUCUUGACUGUAAUUUGAUGCUUCAGGAGCCUGCAGCCUUUGCCACGGCAGUGCAGGGAUUGCUGCAGGCACAGCGUCAAGCCCUUGCUGUUGGCUCCCAAGCAGGUGGGGAGCAUCUCUGUUUUCUGGGAAGUGGUCGUCAGGAAGAGGACCAAUAUACACAUAUGGUCGUCGCUUCGUUUCUACAAAAGCAUACGCAGUACGUCAGUAUGGUAGCUUCCGGAUAUCAAGCGAUCCAUGAAUACUUCGGCGACGAAGUUGUAACGAACCUCGUGGACCACAAUUCCCAGCACUGUUUGGUAUGCAAUACCAACAUAUCGGAAACUAAUUCUAACGAAGCCAGCCCAGCGCGAUUCAAAAAUAACAAUUCAGAUAUUUUUGGAAAAAUCGGUCAGGCUAUGAAACUUAAAAGCCUGGAAGUCAAGGGAAAGCUCUUUGAUUACAUCGUCAACCCGUCGGCGAGUGCCAAUAGUAAUACAGAGAGAAAAAACGGCAAAGAAUCCGAUUACAAUAAGAAGAUACGAAACGAUCCUGUGUUUAGCAUAGACGACGACCAGGAUCUUGACACAACAAUGAGUAAUCACGAAAACGAGCAGCCAAUGGAGGUGGUUUCGAUGCAACAGUGGUUAAAGGAUCCAAGAUUACUUCAUUCCUUUAAGUGUCAAGAGGUUAAAGUAAAUGGUCAUGUUUAUGAGAGCCAACUGCUUAUCACUGACAGCCACCUCAUCGUUCUUCGAGAGACUCAGGGAUGCAGAGGAGCUGCGCAUGUGAUCGUUGAGAGGCCCUUAUCUAGUAUUGUCAAAAUUACGUCGAGGAAACGUCACCCGGAUUUGAUUACGUUUAAAUAUGGCACAACGCAUAACAACGAUACACUUCACAUUUCCGAUAUGGAUAGGUUUCUCAUUCCCAAUUCAUCCGAGGCCACGAAGUUCAUUUCAGAGCAGAUCCUUAAACAAUUGAAAACUAUCAAUUAGGAACAGAAAGAACUUUUAGAAGAUAGUUAAUUUAAAAAGAUGAGUUGGUAAUGCAUAGUCUCUGGACGCAUAGAAAUGUCAUUCAUUUCAUCAAAAGGCUCGGGUGUCGUCAGGACAUUGCACCUAUCAAAAGUUUCUAAAAUGAAGGAUACACUUAACUAUUGAAAAACGAGGAACAUAUUGGAUGCAGUGUUUCAAGUUUUUGCCAUCGAACGACAAAUUGAAAACAGUGAUUCCAAAGUAUGUAAGAAUUAUUAAUAGCGUAUUAUUUAUCUGGAUUUCAAUUUGACAAUGUAUACGAAGGUCCUGAAAAGAUCAUGCCAACAAUUGGGACGAUGCAAAUUGUAAUUUCCAAAAUAGUUUCUUACUUAAAGUUACUUUAUGUAAUUGCUUGUAGUGCUCUGCAUUUCAAAGUGAUGUUUAAUGUGAUGCUAGUUACAUAAUCUUUAAUUGAAACCAUCUGUUUAUUUUGUGUGACCGGAGUAACUUCAUAUUUUGAAUCACUUCGUUGAUUCUUUUGUAAAUAAAAAUCUCUGGUUGGUACCGCAACGGGAAAAUGGGUCUACAUGCACCCACGCCCUGCAAACUAGUACUCCGUGUGGCCCUUCCGAAAAAGUCCUAAUCUUAAAUUGAGACGGUGAAAAUUUGGAUUGGUGAAAGGAGCGACCCGCUUAAAUUUAUUUAAGGGCGCCAUGCAUGUUUCAACAUACUGUGCGCCCUUCAGAAAUUCCAGCUAAGGAAGUCCAAGCUCGCCCGUGGAAAAUCGCGGAAUAUCGCGGAAUAUCGCGGAAAAGCUGUGAUUGCCAGCCACUCAGCCCCGCAAGAAUCCAUAAAGGACUACAUGCGGCACGGUAGAGUCGAGAGUUCACGCGAGAAACACGGAGUCAUUGACAAGAAGUUCGGAUUAGGAUGCGGGAAUACAUUAAAAGAUCAAUUUUCGAUAAUAACCAAUUAACGGAAGCUGUUUAUUCGACAGGAUACUUCUGAAUCCCACCGGCGCGAUGUGGAAUGGUUCACUAAUAACGACAGUAAAUAUAGAGCCGCAUGCUCCCGAUAAUUUUCCUCCGGCACUUCGGAAAGAAAAUACUGGGCACAAUGCCCGUCUUAAUGCCGUCUGGACCCUGAAAACGAUACGUGGAUUUGAUCUGGCCUUGCGGGUCACAAAUGACGGACGACAUAUACUAUAUUAACACGCGAGAGCUACGAAUAACGCGGCAAACUAUAAUCUAAAUUAACACGGCGAAACCUGGGGUCCUCUCGACAAUGAGGAACGCGGAAAAUCCUCCUGGAUCCUCACCGGGCCCAUCGCUGUUUCCCUUUGCCGGUGUCGUCGAUAAUUUAGCACACCAUCUAAUUCCUUCGUGAGACAAUUACGCUGAAAUUCAGCCGAUACAUGGGACCACCUAUAUAAAAAUCAUCCUCGACACGUGAACUUAUUGAUAACAAGGCCUAAGGAACAAACUUCAGGUGAAGUGAAUGAUGUCGGUAAAAAGGAUUCGUCUAAAUACCUACGUUUCCGACGUUCGUAUUUGUAUCGACAACUUUUUCGAAUUAUACUUGGUAUUAUACCAAAUGGCAUACUCCAUAUGUUGUUUCCGUACAAUAAUUAUAAAGCAAUUGUAGCAAAACUCUAGAAAUCCCCUGGAUUCGUGAUUUUUAAUGUUCCAAUUGACUGGAAAGUGCCACUCUGCGCCAUCUGUGAUUUUAGCGUCAACUAAAUUUCCUCUCCGAGAUCUCACGUUACCUUCGGUUUAGCAUAGAAGAUACUUUUUUCGCCUUUAUCCUGUUCAAAUGCGAAUUUCUCGAUUACUACAGUGUUCUAGAUUGUUACACAAUUGUCCUGACACUUUCGAUUCUCACAGCAGAGUUUUUAAUAAUUGUAUAUUGAUCGAAGUACGAGACUUCGGCGCCAUAUUUGUUCUGAUUUAGGCUAAGUUAAAGAAAAUUGUGUCGAAAAUCUAAAUUUUGAAAGUAUCAAAACAACUCUUAGGUUCUCACGAGUCAUAUGUCGAUGUUUUAGUCAGUUCGGUUCAAUAUUCCUAAAAUAAAGUGUCUUAUUCGAAUCGA